rnacentral:rRNA from 1 species
GACGAACGCUGACAGAAUGCUUAACACAUGCAAGUCGAUUCGAUUUACCUUCGGGUAUUGAGGAUGGCGGACGGGUGAGUAACGCGUAAGGAACUUGCCUCUUGGUCUGGGACAACUGUUGGAAACGACAGCUAAUACCGGAUAUUAUGAGAUUCUCGCAUGGGAAACUUAUGAAAGCUAUAUGCGCCAAGAGAGAGCCUUGCGUUCCAUUAGCUAGUUGGUGGGGUAACGGCCCACCAAGGCGACGAUGGAUAGCCGGCCUGAGAGGGUGAACGGCCACAAGGGGACUGAGACACGGCCCUUACUCCUACGGGAGGCAGCAGUGGGGAAUAUUGGACAAUGGGCCACAAGCCUGAUCCAGCAAUUCUGUGUGCACGAUGAAGGUCUUCGGAUUGUAAAGUGCUUUCAGUUGGGAAGAAGAAAGUGACGGUACCAACAGAAGAAGCGACGGCUAAAUACGUGCCAGCAGCCGCGGUAAUACGUAUGUCGCAAGCGUUAUCCGGAUUUAUUGGGCGUAAAGCGCGUCUAGGCGGAAAAAUAAGUCUGAUGUUAAAAUGCGGGGCUCAACUCCGUAUUGCGUUGGAAACUGUUUUUCUAGAGUACUGGAGAGGUGGGCGGAACUACAAGUGUAGAGGUGAAAUUCNUANAUAUUUGUAGGAAUGCCGAUGGAGAANUCAGCUCACUGGACAGAUACUGACGCU